rnacentral:rRNA from 1 species
UACGAAGGGGGCUAGCGUUGCUCGGAAUCACUGGGCGUAAAGGGUGCGUAGGCGGGUCUUUAAGUCAGGGGUGAAAUCCUGGAGCUCAACUCCAGAACUGCCUUUGAUACUGAAGAUCUUGAGUCCGGGAGAGGUGAGUGGAACUGCGAGUGUAGAGGUGAAAUUCGUAGAUAUUCGCAAGAACACCCGUGGCGAAGGCGGCUCUCUGGACCGAUACUGACGCUGAGGAGCGAAAGCGUGGGGAGCGAACAGG